rnacentral:lncRNA from 1 species
UGGUUGGGGUUUAACAUCGGUGAAUGGCCGCGUGGGAUGGAAGAAGUCGUCGAUGGUUGUAUGGAAGGGGGAAGAGAUGGAAAUGGUUUUGUUUUCUCUUUUUUGUUUAGUUUUUAUGAUCGGAGGAGAAGACCAAUUUCAAAUCACCCUUUCCUCUUUUUUUUUGCUUCUUUUUCCUUUUCAUUCUUUAUGCUCUCUCUUUCCUCCAUUUAACCGUUAGACCAUACAUAGG